UAUCCAUCCCGAGCGACCGAGAGACCUGGCUCUAUGACGUCGCAGCAACCGCCCACUGUUCGGAUACCGAGUGGGGACAGGUGCUAACGCCAGGAUCGAUGGAGG
rnacentral:ncRNA from 2 species